GAACGCUGGCGGCGUGCUUAACACAUGCAAGUCGAACGCGAAAGGGGACUUCGGUCCUGAGUAAAGUGGCGCACGGGUGAGUAACGCGUGGAUAAUCUGCCCUUAUGAUCGGGAUAACAGUUGGAAACGGCUGCUAAUACCGGAUACGCUCAAAAUGAACUUUUUGAGGAAAGAUGGCCUCUGCUUGCAUGCUAUCACGUAAGGAUGAGUCCGCGUCCCAUUAGCUUGUUGGCGGGGUAACGGCCCACCAAGGCAACGAUGGGUAGCCGAUUUGAGAGGAUGAUCGGCCACACUGGAACUGAAACACGGUCCAGACUCCUACGGGAGGCAGCAGUGGGGAAUAUUGCGCAAUGGGCGAAAGCCUGACGCAGCGACGCCGCGUGAGGGAUGAAAGGUUUUCGGAUCGUAAACCUCUGUCAGAAGGGAAGAAACUACGUUGUGCUAAUCAGCAGCGUACUGACGGUACCUUCAAAGGAAGCACCGGCUAACUCCGUGCCAGCAGCUGC
rnacentral:rRNA from 1 species